rfam:Beta vulgaris subsp. vulgaris chromosome 2, whole genome shotgun sequence.
AGAUCAAGUGAUGAUAUUGGAUAUAUUCUCACGACGGUCGUCUGAGGACACAAAUUUGUGUCUUUUUUGAUGAAUUUAAUCCUAAUUUCUGAUGAUU